rnacentral:rRNA from 1 species
AACGAACGCUGGCGGCAGGCUUAACACAUGCAAGUCGAGCGCCCAGCGAAUGGGAGCGGCGCACGGGUGAGUAACACGUGGGAACGUGCCCUAUGGUUCGGAAUAACGCAGGGAAACUUGCGCUAAUACCGGAUAAGCCCUUACGGGGAAAGAUUUAUCGCCGAUUGGAGCGGCCCGCGUUGGAUUAGCUAGUUGGUGGGGUAAAAGCCUACCAAGGCAACGAUCCAUAGCUGG